UACGGGGGGGGUAAGCGUUGUUCGGAAUUACUGGGCGUAAAGGGCUCGUAGGCGUCCAACUAAGUCAUACGUGAAAUCCCUCAGCUUAACUGGGGAACUGCGUCUGAUACUGGAUGGCUUGGAUUCGGGAGAGGAAUGCGGAAUUCCAGGUGUAGCGGUGAAAUGCGUAGAUAUCUGGAGGAACACCGGUGGCGAAGGCGGCAUUCUGGACCGACAUUGACGCUGAGGAGCGAAAGCCAGGGGAGCAAACGGG
rnacentral:rRNA from 1 species